GGAUGCGAUCAUACCAGCACUAAUGCACCGGAUCCCAUCAGAACUCCGAAGUUAAGCGUGCUUGGGCGAGAGUAGUACUGCAUCCC
rnacentral:rRNA from 1 species